CCUACGGGGGGCUGCAGUGGGGAAUAUUGCACAAUGGGGGAAACCCUGAUGCAGCAACGCCGCGUGAGCGAAGAAGGCCUUCGGGUCGUAAAGCUCUGUCCUAAGGGAAGAAGCAUGACGGUACCUUAGGAGGAAGCCCCGGCUAACUACGUGCCAGCAGCCGCGGUAAUACGUAGGGGGCGAGCGUUAUCCGGAAUAACUGGGCGUAAAGGGUGCGUAGGCGGCUAAGUAAGCCAGGGGUGAAAGGCUACGGGUGGACCGUAGUGAGCCUUUGGAACUACAUAGCUUGAGUGCAGGAGAGGAGAGUGGAAGUGGUACGGUAGAGAUGGAAUGCAGAGAUAUGAGGAGGAAGGCCAGUGGGGAAGGCGAGUAUUUAGGCUGUAACUGAGGCGGUGACACGGAAGCGUGGGGACUAAGCGGGAUUAGAUACCGGGUAGAC
rnacentral:rRNA from 1 species